rnacentral:rRNA from 1 species
UACGGAGGGUGCGAGCGUUGUCCGGAAUCACUGGGCGUAAAGCGCGUGUAGGCGGCUUGGUAAGUCCGUUCUGAAAGCCCGGGGCUCAACCCCGGGAGGCGGAUGGAUACUGUCAAGCUUGAGUCCGGAAGAGGCGAGUGGAAUUCCCGGUGUAGCGGUGAAAUGCGCAGAUAUCGGGAGGAACACCAAUGGCGAAGGCAGCUCGCUGGGACGUGACUGACGCUGAGACGCGAAAGCGUGGGGAGCAAACAGG